UUUGGUUGUUUGGCGAUGGACUAUUCCCCUGACGUCCCCAAGGUAAUCUGGAAGAAAGGAGGGGAGCUAAUCACGACUGGAUUGAAGAUUUACCCAUCAGUGAGAAACAAGAAGGGAACCUACACCCUGAGCAGCCAGGUAACCCUGCCAGAGUCAGCGGUAGGUUGCCCCAGCAAAAUCUACUGUGAGGUUCAACACAGCGGGUCACACAAGAGCAAAGAAAUGCCAUGUCCAGAUCUAGGUAUUCUCCAACCAACUCUUCUCCUAACUGUGAGCUCCAGUGAAGAAUCGCAAGCAGCAAGUUUGCAACCGUCGUCUGUUCAAUCAUCGAUUUCCAUCCGAAGUCAAUCUCCGUGAUUUGGUUGAAAAAUGGCCGACGCUUGGAUUCUGGCUUCUUCACGUCUCCCGUGUGUGAGGCGAACGGGAACUUCUCGGUGACGAGUCGGCUUAUGGUCCCUUAUGGUGAAUGGUUCAACAGCGCAGUCUAUACCUGCCAGGUCACUCAUGGAGAGAAC